rnacentral:rRNA from 1 species
CUACGGGUGGCUGCAGUGAGGAAUAUUGCACAAUGGGGGGAACCCUGAUGCAGCAACGCCGCGUGGAGGAUGACGCAUUUCGGUGUGUAAACUCCUUUUAUAUGUCAAGAAAAUGACGGUAGCAUAUGAAUAAGCACCGGCUAACUCCGUGCCAGCAGGCCGCGGUAAUACGGAGGGUGCAAGCGUUACUCGGAAUCACUGGGCGUAAAGGGCGCGUAGGCGGGUUGGAAAGUCAGGUGUGAAAUCCUACAGCUUAACUGUAGAACUGCACUUGAAACUUCUAAUCUAGAGUAUGGGAGGGGGAGAUGGAAUUAGUGGUGUAGGGGUAAAAUCCGUAGAUAUCACUAGGAAUACCUAAAGCGAAGGUGAUCUCCUGGAACAUUACUGACGCUAAGGCGUGAAAGCGUGGGGAGCAAACAGGAUUAGAUACCCUGGUAGUC